rnacentral:rRNA from 1 species
GACGAACGCUGGCGGCGUGCUUAACACAUGCAAGUCGAACGCUGAAGCUCAGCUUUUGUUGGGUGGAUGAGUGGCGAACGGGUGAGUAACACGUGAGUAACCUGCCCCCUUCUUUGGGAUAACGCCCGGAAACGGGUGCUAAUACUGGAUAUUCACUGGUCUUCGCAUGGGGGUUGGUGGAAAGGGUUUUUCUGGUGGGGGAUGGGCUCGCGGCCUAUCAGCUUGUUGGUGGGGUGAUGGCCUACCAAGGCUUUGACGGGUAGCCGGCCUGAGAGGGUGACCGGUCACAUUGGGACUGAGAUACGGCCUAGACUACUACGGGGGGCAGCAGUGGGGAAUAUUGCACAAUGGGCGAAAGCCUGAUGCAGCGACGCCGCGUGAGAGAUGGAGGCCUUCGGGUUGUGAACCUCUUUCGCUCAUGGUCAAGCCGCAACAAUAGUUGUGGUGAGGGUAGUGGGUAAAGAAGCGCCGGCUAACUACGUG